GUCAAAAUACGCAUGUGGCUAAUGAAUUAAUGAAUUGAAAUUCAAAAUGAAAAUGCGCGCAGGUGAAAAACAAUCAUCUCAGUCAUGUUCAGCAGAAACCACCGUGGGCCACCGCGCCGGAAAUCGCUUCUGACAGCGGUGGCCACCAGAAACACAAAUUACACACAUAACUGGAAACGUCUUAACCUCCCAAGUCCAAAUACCCAAUCUAUUUCAUUCAAUUCCCCGCCUAGAACCUUAACUGAAUCUCUAGCUUCAAGAACCCUAACAUCUUAAUCUAAAAUUAAAUUCCACUAUCUCGGAAUCACAACCUUAGAGGUUACGACUUUGAUUCCCCUGACCUCACUCUACAUUCUGGUAACCUCUAUGCAAUGAAUAGAUGAAGAUGAUAACGAUACUCACUGGAGCGACGCUGGAAGAGAAUGGCAAGAAAAUACCAGAGACACUUCAAGAACUGCCAUUGAUGGUGUCUAAGUUAUAAUCAUGAUGCAAUAUGUUGAGCACGAUGUUGCCAUUCCUGAUCCAAGCCAAGCAGAGAAAUCCUAGGUCUGGUUUGUGUAGGUUGUGAGGGAUGUACAUGUUUCAAGGCCAAGGUUUGGAUGGUUCUGCACCAUACUUGCAAUAUGGUUCAUGGUUCUGCAUUGCAGCUAAUUAUUGUAUUCUGCAGGUCAGACUUGUUUAUUCUGACUUUGGCUUGGAUAGCAUGUCAUAUGUUUGCAACAUGGUUUUAUUUUGUUAGGCUUGUGGCUUGAUCAAGCUAAGUUCAUGGCAUGAUGACAUCAAGGUUGAAGAUCAUGUACAAAUGGUCAAAUCAAGAUCACAAUGGACUUGGAAAAUGGGAUUAGAACUAGGAUGGGAAAUUUAGUGGUUUAAGAUGGAAAAAGGAUUUGAGUUGACUUUGGUCAAAGUUGGCCAAAAAGUCAACCAUUGCCCAAAGUCAACAUUUGGUCAACAUAUGUUUGUUUUUUUUUUUGCAUUUUUUGUAUGUAAUGAACAUUUUAUGGAUGAUAAUGAAUGGAAUUGGACAA